CGGUAUUGAUUACCUUGCAUAAAAUGUAAUGGCUCCUACCAUCGAGCCCUGCCUUGCAGAUCAGCUCGGUCAUCCGACGAGGCAGUCUGGUGGAGGAACUCCUCUGCGGAAGUCAUCCUUUCAAUAAUUUUUGAUCGAGUAAUACGCAAAGAUAUACCAGGUUAAACGAAAGCGAAAGCAGUUUCAAUAGCUUAGAAAUAUUGCAAAGCUGCACAAUUGACUGCAUGAUUAUUAAAUAUUCGACAUUCGAAAUGAAACACAUUUACUUUGGCAGUCCUUGCUCUUCCGUAUAUCCGACGAUAGGUCGUUUAUGGAUAGCAUGAAUGUCGGACCAUCAAACAGAUUAAGAAAUGAAACCGUUUUCCUUUUUAAUCUUAUAUUUAAAUGGUCGAUCAAUCAAUGUUGUAUUUAUCGAAUGAUUUUAUGAUGACGACGCGAGUAUUUCUCUUGAUGAGAGGGACAUUAGGUCUCUUAACUAUAGCUAUCCCGAAUAUUGUAGUAGUGUAUAUAAAUCAGGAACCUACAUAUUUAUUAACUAAUGUAAUGAAAAAUAUUAUAUAUAUGGGAAGCAAGAUGCUCCAUGAAAGAGAGGAGAUCAUAAAAGCAGAGGAGGAAGCUGAUGCUGCUCACGAAUUUAUUACAAAUCUUCCAAAUGAUCUGGUAGGCAAGUUAGUGAGGGAAUCACCUAAUUAUCUGGUUUAUGGAAACAACAUGUUUCUAUUGCUAUAGCAUUACUAUAGCAACCAUCGACAUCAAUAUUGAAUUUUAAUACACGAGUGCAUUGAAUCGUGAAAGCAGAAGAGUGGUCCAAGAAGUUGGAAAUUCGAACUGAAGAAGGAACAUCAUUAGCUACUGCUCUUGCGUGCAUUAUGUGAUUGAGAAUACCUAGGAAACGGAAAAAGGAAAAAGAACAUUUGUGUCUUUCCGACGAAAUUUGGAAAAACCAAUAUGGCAUUGUUUUAUAAAGUUUGGAACGGUGGUACGAGGAAAUGGUUGGGAUUUACCUUCUUCAAAGGAUCCAAACGUGAGCGGCUUUAGCUGUAGGCUAUAAGCGACUGUACUGAGAUCGAUUUGUCGACCUUCCACGCAGGGCCAGGAUCAAAUAGGAAUUGAAAUGAAACUGAGGGAAGUAUAUCAUACAUAAUAAUUUAACAUACAGGGACGAUCAAAGGAUUCACUGUUAACAGGGAAAUACUUUUAAAUUAUACGUGAAAUGGAAAAUCCACGUUCACGUGAUUUUUAUUCCAUCGAUUCAAAUUAAGUAAGCAUUCGAUAUUAUUAAGAAAGGAGAAAUGCUGAAUUCUGUAUUUGAUAUUAUUUCUCAUAACACUCACGACAUGUACUUAAAGAAUAUUCGUAAUAUUUAAUUAGCGUUUUUCUUAAAUAUUGAAAUUUGGACGAAGAAUUCGGUAGCACAAAGUAUCUGUUUUUAAUACGUUCUCCCAUAAUUAUCGAGAAAUACCUUCGUUUCAAACCUUUCGGUAUUAUCUCCCUCAAGUGCACGGCUAUCUGCGGCGGUUCGAGUAGCCGGGGAUGAGUGAGCGGUCCUGCGUGCGUUUAUGCGAACAACCCCUAUUUUACCUUCAUAUAAUUGGAGAUUAGCUCUAUAAUUACAUUACCUAUUUAGAUUCAUCGUUUGAUAGCACGAUUACUUAUUUUGCAGAGUAAUGGAUUAUUUUCUUAGGAACAAUUUGAUUUGGAACAUAAUAUACGAAACAUUAGAUAAUUAGGAUUAUUUUUUUGCAUUCUUUAAUAGGGAGUAAAUUUCUAGGAAAGUGUUUCGGUUCAUAUAGAAAAAUUAAAUCAGUCGUGGUACAUUGACGUCCAAAUUAUCCAGGUAACUGCAUGAUAUAGCUAAAUGGAUAAUUGAAUUAUACAGCUAAUCUUAUUAUCGAAUUGUCUGCUUCGUUUGAUGAGAGGGAAACUCAUGAAAAAAUACCUUUCUUGUUUUUAAAAUAAGAGAAGUGAUGUACGCAGAAACGCCCACUUAUUCCCGUCCAUUCGAGCUGCACUUGAAAAGCGCGCACGGAGAGGAACAACAAUGCAUCGUUUAAUAUCAUGGUGCUUGACGAUAGGUACGCGGGAAGGUUUUGCGUACGCACAGAUCGUUAAAUUCCGAUCAAUACUCGUUAACAGGGAAAUUUGUAGACGUGAAGGAUCAUAUAUUUUUGCAAAAAAGAGCAAAAUUUUGUCCUUUAUAAUUUUUCACGAUUCUUUUCCAACAUUAUCAUCCCUCGCGUUAUGUAUGAGAUCUCUCCGUUUUCUUGUUGGAUGUCAUCACUAUCACUUCUAUCGUUUUCUUCCGAAUUAAUAUUCAUUUUUUUCUCACCGUGUAAAUGGAAUUCCUCUUCGGUAUUACUUAUAGCACGAAACUCACUCGUGUUUGGAAAUUUUGCGAUUCUCUUAAUGAAAAAGAAAUAAGUAAGUAAAUGGAUUGGUAGUCUCAAAUUGUAUAUUACGACAUCACGGAAUGAUACAUAACAAUAAUAUAAUACUUUCCUGGUUUCCUGACUAAUUAGUCGAGGGAUCUAUUUAUACUACUCGAAGUUUCAAUACGAAGUGAGCUCAGCUUUGAAAAUCUCUUUCCCUCCUGUUUUAUGAAUACUCGUUUACUUCAUCAAAUAUCACUAUAUCGUACGAGGCAUACUCAUGUACUAUUACAAACAAUCGCUAAAAAAUUCAUCGCUCUCUUUAAGCAGGCUAGAUAAGCAUCCAGACCGUUGUGAACGUACUUCUUCUUCAUAAAAUAUAAAAGUAUAAAUUAUAAAUGUUUUAGGAAGAUAGCCUUUCCAUGAAAUAAUCUUUCCUUCUGAAUAGAAUUUUCUGAUUCUACUUUCUUGGUAAUGUCAAUAUUCUCUUUACGAAAAAUAAAUAAAUUUGAAUAACCAAAUACCACAAAAAGGUCACUGCCCCAAAACGGGAUAAACAAAAUUAGAUAUUUACAAAGUAAAAUGAUCGAAAGGAUAUGAAUAUGCAGAAUGAUUCAUAGGAGGAUACAAAGGCAGAGAAAUAAUCAAAAAGAAACGCAUGAAUGAAAAUUAAAAAAAGAAUUAUCCUCUACGAUAGUUUCGAAUUAAUAAUAAAAAGAGUAGAAAAAAUGAGUAGGAAAAAUAGUAGAAAUAAAUUUAUUAAAUAUUUCAAUCUAUCGCGUUAAAUCUAUCUAUAUAUUAAUCUAUCGUAUCUAUUGGAAUGCAUUACAAGAUGUUGAUCCUCAAUCUUGUAGGCUUCAAUGCAAAUUCUCGGAAGACUCAAAUGAAAGAAAAUCCAAAAUAAUAUAUAAGCCACCAAUCAGUCGCGAUAAUCGAUUGUGUAUCAUACAUAUCAAUUUAAACAAGAUGCUCUCAUAUUUGAAUAUUUUGUUUCGACCUAUCAACCUGAAUGUUUGGUCGAGGGUUAUUUUUUUAUACAGUCAGUUGCAAAAGACGUAAUUAUUAAUAGAGGGACAUAGAGCUAUCUUCGGUAGUCAUUUUUAAGUUGAUUGCAUAUUGUUUUUCAUUUGAGUCUUCCGAGAAUUUGCAUAGAUGCCUACAAGAUUGAGGAUCAACAUCUUUUAAUGCAUUUCAAUGAUUACGAUAGAUUGAUAUAUAGAUUAGAUAUUUAUGACAAGCUUUCUUCUUUUACACACUUCAUUGCUUUUUGUUUCUAUUAGUAGAAAAUUAUAUAAAAUAAAAUAUAAUAUAAUUAUAAUUAUAUAAAAAAGUUUCCUUUAUAAUACACGGACGUCUAUAUCAUCAGGAUCAGAAGUGUUACAGUUCUUUGGUUUUAUGCAACUUAAUAUGGGAAACCAAUUUCUAUGGCCAUUGUCUCCAAAGCAAUAAGAAUAUGAUACGAUCAAAUUAGAAAUUUAAAGCAGAAUUUUCACAAAUAUUUCUAUUAUAAUUAUUACUCGCCGCUAAUCAAGAAAAUGAAGAAUUACUUACAGCAGAUUGCCAGGAAUAGAAUAUACUCGUCGUAGCCAUUAAUAUUCCUCUUUAAUGGUUCCUUGAAUUAUGUGCUCGACUCUCCUGGACGUGUAUAUUUCUAUCCUCUUGAUAUUUUAUUCUGUUAAACACACUUCAGAGUUUUCUGAAAAUAUGAAAAAUGUUCAAUUAAUCUUUUACUAUAUUUUCUCAGCAUCCUAAUUAUUUAUUUAAAAAUUAGGAUCCAUAUUCAGAAUUUUAUUUUUAUCAGAAAAAAUGUCAGAAUCUCCUUAAAACAUUCUCAAAUGAACUUUCGUUUCAAUCAAAUGGAUGAAAAACAAAAACUAAUAGGUUUGAUCGCAAAAGCAAACGAAACCGGAUAUGUGUCUCGAAGACAACUCGUCUCUACGUUCAUCUCUUUGUAUUCUUAUCAUGGACUCAUGCAUCUCUAUUCUAAUUGAUUAGCUGCCCGGCAAACAAGCAAUUACUAGUUUCAGACAAGUAUUAAAGAGGAAUAUUAAUGGCUAGGACGAGUAUAUUCUAUUCCUGGCAAACCACUUAGUUUGUUGGACUCGUCAACAGGUAGUACCACUGAGACAGGAAAUACGGAGUAGUAACGCGAGAUACCAAGCACAUGUGCAACAGUUGGCUCCAUAUACGAUUAUCCGAUUGGUUCGUAUAAAUGUCUAAAAUGAAAUAUCCUAAUUCCGAUAACCCUUAUUACGCUUCCUCCUCGUUUUAAUUUUAUAAAAUAAUUCAAAAUUAUGCUACAAGUAAAAUAUCAAUCACUGGUAAAAUAUAGUAUAUAAUAAUAAUAAAAAUAAAUUAACCACAGCAUUAAAAAAUAAUAAGAAACUACGCAAUUUUCUAUAAUCUUCUAUAAAACAAUAUAUCGUAGUAUUAGAUAUGAACUUGUAUUGAAAUCAUUUUCAUAAGAUUUUGUUCUUUAUAUUGCAUGCUAUAGGCAAUAGGAUAAUUUUAUAUAUCUAUCUAUGAGUUUAUGUUAAUGGCGUUAUGUUAUGCCCUAAAAGUUCUAAUUAUAAAUGGAGGCAGAUUUAUAUUCGCUAAUACUUAGGAAGUUCAUUACAUUCUGUUUAAAAUUAUUAUAAAUAUUUUCUCUUUUAUCUACUACGUUUCUGAAUGGAAUUUUCUUUAUUCUUUUCAGUCGAAAGGCGCAUUCGAUACAUCUAUUAUUAUAUAUAUGUAUCGAUUUAUAUUUAUAUAUAUGUUCACUUAUCCAUCUGUUUUUUCUAUAAUGCCUUACUUACGAUGUAUAUAUUAGAGGCAAACUACGAGCGCAUAUAUUUAUAUUUUUAUCUAUUAUUUCGUGAAUUAUCUGUGCCGUCUUAAUAAUUAAGAAGGAUGUAAAUAGAUGGAAGUUGAAAAAGAAAAUUGAAAGAUAAGAAAGUGAAAAUAGAUAUUUAAAUUCAAGAAGAAAAGAAGCGAACGAGUGUGCAUUAGGAAAGUGAAUCAGUUGAUAUCGAAUUCAUAUUUUCAUAUAGUUGUUUAGGAUGGAUUAUUUGUAAUUAAAUUUUUGAUAAAUAUUUACUUCUUCGGAAUAUGAAGACAAAAUUGACCGAAAAAAAAAGAAUAAAAUUAAAAGCUAAUCGACAAAACUUGAAGCAAUUUAUUUUUAAUCGAGGCAACAUCGUGUUCAGACAAAACUCUAAGAAAGAAAAGAUAAUUAGCAUGAACAUUGGCUGCAUAACUUUCGAAGUAUUAGCGAAUAUAAUUCUGCCUCCAUUUAUAAUUAGAACUUUUAGGGCAUAACAUAACGCCACUUAUAUAAACUCAUAGAUAGGUAUAUAAAAUUAUCCUAUUGUUUAUAGCAUGCAAUAUAAAGAGCAAAAUCUUAUGAAAAUGAAUCUUCGCGUUGGUUAUUCAAAAACUUAAAUAAGAUGUAACUUAUCAAGAACAUAAAGAAAAAUAUCAUCGAAUCCCAUUACCGAAUCCAAUUAUGUAGCCAAUGUUCAUGCUAAUUAUCUUUUCUUUCUUAGAGUUUUGUCUGGACACGAUGUUGCCUCGAUUAAAAAUAAAUUGCUUCAAGUUUUGUCGAUUAGCUUUUAAUUUUAUUCUUUUUUUUCGGUCAAUUUUGUCUUCAUAUUCCGAAGAAGUAAAUAUUUAUCAAAAAUUUAAUUACAAAUGAUGCAUCCUAAACAACUAUAUGAAAAUAUGAAUUCGAUAUCAACUGAUUCACUUUCCUAAUGCACACUCGUUCGCUUCUUUUCUUCUUGAAUUUAAAUAUCUAUUUUCACUUUCUUAUCUUUCAAUUUUCUUUUUCAACUUCCAUCUAUUUACAUCCUUCUUAAUUAUUAAGACGGCACAGAUAAUUCACGAAAUAAUAGAUAAAAAUAUAAAUAUAUGCGCUCGUAGUUUGCCUCUAAUAUAUACAUCGUAAGUAAGGCAUUAUAGAAAAAACAGAUGCAUAAGUGAACAUAUAUAUAAAUAUAAAUCGAUACAUAUAUAUAAUAAUAGAUGUAUCGAAUGCGCCUUUCGACUGAAAAGAAUAAAGAAAAUUCCAUUCAGAAACGUAGUAGAUAAAAGAGAAAAUAUAUAAAUUAAUUUUAAACAGAAUGUAAUGAACUUACUAAGUAUUAGCGAAUACAAUUCUGCUUCCAUUUGUAAUUAGAACUUUUAGAACUAUUUGUAAGAAAACAGGUAGUACUUAAUGAGGCAUUACGAUUCAUAGAUUGAAACACACUUUUAUGACAACCCUAUAAUUAGAAAAAUAUGGAAUCAUGUAUCUCUAUUCUAAUUGGUUAACUGACCGGCAAAGCAAUACAACUGGUUUCAGACAAGCAACUCAACUGAUAUGUUUGACUCGUCAAUCGAUAGUAUCACCGAAAUACCAAAUACGGAAUAAUAUCACGAAAUAUCCAACACGUGUGCAACAGUUGGAUCCAUAAACGAUUAUUCGAUUGGUUCGUAUAAAAGUCUAAAAAGAAAUACCCGACAACCCUAAUUACGCUUCCUUCUCAGUUUAAUUUUAUACAAUAAUUCAAAAUUAUGCAACAAGUAAAAUAUCAAUCACUGGUAAAAUAUAGUAAGUAAUAAUAACAAAGAUCAGUUAACCAUAGCAUGAAAAAAUAGUAAGAAACUAUGCAAUUUUCUAUAAUCUACCAUAAAACAUAUUAUCGUAGUAUUGGAUAUGAACUUGUAUAAAAUAGGGCAUAACAUAACGUCAGUAAUAUAAACUCCUAGAUAGAUAUAUAAAAUUAUCCUAUUGUGUAUAGCAUGCAAUUUGGAACAGAAUCUUAUGAUAAUGGAUCCUCGCAUUAAAUAUUAUAAAAUUCAAGUAUGAUUCUACUUAUCAAGAACUUGAAAAAUGUAUCGGGUGAUUCCCAAAAUCGAUUUCAAAUAUGCGGCCAAUUUUCAGAUAUUACGGUUUGUAUGCUAAUCAUCUUUUCUUUCUUGGAGUUUCGUCGCUCUGGACUCGUUACCGUGUCCAUUAAAUGUUAAUUGCUCUAACUUUUGUCGAAUAGCUUUUAGUUUCUUGUUUUUCUGUUAAAUUUUGUCUCCAUAUUUAGAAGAAGCACGUAUUUAUCAAAAAUGGAGGAUCCAUCUAUGCCAAUAUACACAAAUAUAGGAAAAUAUGAAAUUGAGAAUGAGUCCACUUACCUAAUACAUAUAAGCUUGCUUCUUUUCUCGAUGUCUCUUUUUUUCUUUAAUAUUAACUUCAUUUUUUAUUUUGACUUAUUUUUCAAUUUUCUUUUUAAUUUUACAUCCGUGGUUUACUGAUAUUCGUAUGACAUAUAUGUAUACACAUACGUCUAUAUAUAUAUACAUACAUAUAUGUAUAUAUAUUUUACAACGCACUGCUUAUGUUAUACGUAUUGAAGGCAAAUUAUGAGCUUAUUUAUUUAUACAUUUAUCUAUAUCCAUAUGAUUCUCAGAAAUAUAUAAAGAGUAUAUCAGUUUAUAGGCAAAUAUAUAAAUAAAUAUAAACAUGAACAUUAGACUUUAGUACAUACAAAGUACACAGUGCGGUGAAAUAUAUAUAUAUGUGUGUAUAUAUAUGCAUGUAUUUACGUAUAUAUCGAAUCAGUCUACCAUCUGAAAAGAAUAGAGAAAAUUUCAUUCAUAAAUUUCAUUCAAAAGAAAAGAGAAAAUAUAUAAACUAAUUUUUAACAGAAUGUAAUGAACUUACCAAGUACUAGCACAAAUAGUUUUAACUCGAUUAAUAAUUACGCCUUGCAGGACUAUCUGUAAGAAAACAAAUAGUACUUAAUAACGCAUUACGAUUGAUAGAUCGAAACACAGUUUUACAAGCCGAUAAUUAGAAAAGGAGACUCAAAUAUUAACAUUCCAAGGGAUAUUUAUAUUAUUCCAAACAAUUCACUAAGCUUUAGUUCAAAUAACGCAAAUUAUAAUAUUUCCUCUGGUUAAUAUUAUACAAUAAUAUACCCAAGACAAAUUACUAGAUAUAAUAUAUAGUGCAAGAAAAUGAUAAACUAUACAACUUUCUAUAGUAUAUUAUAAAACGGUAUAUCGUAGUAUUGAACACAAAAUUGUAUAAAAUAUAGUAUAAUGCGUUAAUAUCAAGUAGCAUAAAAUUCAAAUAGGAUUUCACUAACCGAUAGCGCGUUUUUUAUAAUCUUCCAGAUAAGUAACAUUAUCGCGAUGGACAGGAACUUACAUAUUAUUCUAAUUCGUCCCUCUCUUGAAACCUCAAGGAAGUUGCUUGUAGGACGAUUCGAAACAGAAUAAAUAGUUUAUUCAACUUCCGCGGACAGCUCCUAACAUCUUUUAUAUUGACUCGAGCAUGCGCUGUUUCGUUUAAUCCCCUCUUUUUCAUAUUUUCACGAUCCCCAAUUAUCUCUUCACAAUGUUACCAACAGUUCUGGAUCGAUAUUAGCGUAAAAGGAAGAUUUCUGUUUGCUUUUAUCUCUGUUUUUUCUUCUUGAUUCUUUUUUCUCCAUUUGAUUCCCCAUGUGAUUCUCCAUACUCAUAUCUUUUCGAUCAUUUCACGAUGUAAAAAUCGAAUUGCGUUUAUCCACUUUCCGAUGAGGAAAAUUUUUUUGGCAUUUAAUUAUUCAUAUUUAUUUAUUUUGUGCGAAGAGAAUGUUGACAUUACCAAGAAAGUAGAAUUCAGAAUAUUGUAUUUAAAAGGAAUAGUAAUCUCUGGGAAAAUCUCUUCCUACAAUAUUUAUAACUGAUGAUUUGUGCGAUGUAAAUCGGUUGACCGAAUAACGAUGGCUAGAAAGAAGUAUAAUAGAUCUUUACUAUGUUAGGGAAAUAUUAUGUAAAUGUUUAUUAUAUGUACGCUUAUCGAGAUAUUUAAUCAUCCGAGUAAAACAUUAGGAAAAUGCUGAAUAAAUUAGAAAUAUUAUGUUACUAGAUAUAUAAGUAUGUCGUUGCUAUACUGGGUUAUACGUAAUGAGAAAUAAACGAAUCGAUUAAGAUAACAUUUUCCGAGGAACUAAUUAGUUUGGAAUAUAUGAUAUAUUAGAUAAUUGGCAGUAUAAGUGGAUCGUUCUUUGAAAUUUUCCUAUCGGGAAUUAAUUUUUCGGAAAAAGUAUUCCUUCGUAUGAAAGAACUAAAUUAGUUGUGGUACAUCGAUCUGCUAAUUAAUUAAUGCAGCUAAAUAGCUAAUUGAAAUACACUGCUAAUCGUAUUAUCGCAUUGCCUGCUUAGUUUAAUGACAGGAGAACGAACGACAAAAUAUCUUUCUUCUUUUGAAAAAAUACCUUUCGUCAAAAUAAGCGAGGAGAUAUACGCACGCACACCCACAGAACCGCGGACAUAUUCCCGCUUACAUGCCCUAGCGCGGAUGAGAGAAUAUAAGAGCGUAAGUGUGUGGAGAAAGAUAAUAACAAAUUGUUUAACACGAACGUACACGACGAUACGUAUGGAAGAACGUAACGUAUGCAUGCAUUUUCAUUAAAUCUCAAUCGUAAGAUAUUUGCGCUACGUAAUAAUUUAGUUCGUCCAAAUACCUAUAUUUCUGAAAAACGUACAUUAUACAUUAUUUUUAAGUACAUAACGUGAAUAUUCUGACAAAUAAUUUGGAACAUUGAACCAAACACUUCUUCUCUUUUUAAUUAUAUUGAAUAAUAAUAUAAACUGACGGUAUAACGAUGACACGGUGAGAUAAACGUACACUACAUAUUAACGCAUAAUUUAAAAGCGUGUCCAGGCUAACGUUAUUAUCCCGAAGAACAAUGAAUACUUUGAUCGUAUAUGCAGCUUUGAUCAUUUUCAAUGAUAAAGCUGCCUGAAUACCAUUUCAGUUCCAUUUGAAUCCAGAUUCCCUUUGCAACGACAAACAACCCUACGAUGAAUCUUUCCCAUAACACUCCAUUAUAUCCUCUAUCUAAAGCCACUUACUUUGAAUCCUUUCAAUAACGUAUAUUCCGUAUCCUCGUAUCACCAUAUGAAUGAAGCUUUGUAAUACAGCGCUAUUUUAAUUGACGAUUACCUUGAGGCAAUACCAUGAGGAUCGUCGUGAACACCAUUAUAAAUGUUUGUCCUCUUCCUCCUCUUCGUCCUCUUCUUCCUUGUUAAUUGCAACCACGUAAUGAAGACGCUAUGGAACAUAAUUAUGCGGAUCACGUUUGAAAAGGAAAUGCCUUCCUUUCGAACCCAGCACGUUGAUUAUUACUACAGCUUAGAAAUACCAAAUAUGUUUUGGAAACCGUCGGUAAUUGUACAUAGUAAAAUACCGCCGAUCGAUAUUAUAUAAUUCAGUGUCCGCACAUAAGAUAUAUGGAUAUGUAUUUUUCUUUUCUUCCUUUUUUUAAAUUCGAGCUAUAAUAUAAAGCGGCAUGUCAUUGCCUAAAAACUGUAACAAGGAACUAAAAAUAUUAAAUAACAACCUUUUUAGAUGAUAACACUGGUGAACAACUUCGAAAGUCAAUUGCUUGACAUUCCAUAAUAGAUGAUGAAUAUGUUUUUGACGUAGGAUUCUUUGAAAAUAUUCUCUUAUAAAUGUAUUUGUUCCUGUAAAGUACUAUGUAUAAGGAUCAUAAUAAGAAAACAGAUACUCCUCAUUGUGGUCACUUCACACAUCAUAUUAUUUUUAUCAUGACCAAAAAAGAUAUUGUUUACAUGAACAACAUCUUUGGCUGAUUUUGUCACUUAGUAAUUAAAAAUAUGUAUAUUAACGCCCGCAAGAUAUUUUUAUUAUGAGGGAAUAUUAAUAAGAGAAUUAAUUUCGUUUCAUGGAAUGUGAAUAUUUGGUUGGGUGAGAUCAAUAAAAAUGAAGCAGAAGCAUUUGUAACAAUAUUCUGUUAUGGAAUAUGGAUAUGGUAGUAAAACAGAAAUCAUAAUAUGUCAAAUUAAAAGAGAUCGUUAGAGAAGUCUUAAUUAAUUUCAUCUUCUACCUUUUCGUCUGUGAAAGCAAUAAAGAUGCAUAGAGUGUAAAAACUCUGUCUGUUCGGCACCCUCUCGGAUGUUGACUAUCGGCUUACGUAAUAUAAUAUAUCGUGACCGUGAAACUAACUAAUAUAUUGUAAUGAUAUUUGAUUUAUAUGAAUUUGUAGGUAUUGAAGAGCAUAUUUCAUUACAAGAUAUUAUCCCUUAUAAUUUUCUACGAUAUCUGUGAUAAGCUUUGCAGGAUUUUCAUCCUUAUCAUCGUCUAUGAGAUUUUUCCUGUUUUCAUAUACGGUGGUAUCACUAUCACUGUUACCGUUUUUUUCUGGAUUUAUACUUGUCUUUUUGGAAUUGCUCUUCACUACUUAUAUCUUAUAUCAUGUAAUGUAGUCGUGUUUGUACACUUCAUUAUUGUCCUAAUAAAAAAAAAAAAAAUGAGUA